GACAACAGAUCGCUUUGCUUUGACAAUCACUUGUUUCAAACACUGCUAACGAACAGUUUAGAGAGGUAGGCCCCCACUUCUGGCCCUUCCCCUCGGCUUAUUUUUGCCUUGUAAAAUUAAAUUUGCACAUUUUGGAUGUGAUUAAGAAAUACCUAACUGCUAUAAAUAAACAAGCAGAUAAUAUGACACAAACAAAAGCCGGGCCUGCCAAGUCCUAACAAGUCAAGGAGAUGACGUUGUUUAUACACGCUUGAAACCACAGAGCAACGAAUGCUUCCAACCCAAAGCAAGCGUGCCAUGCCAUGCACAAACAAAACCAGAUCACCUGGGUUAAAAAGCACAGAUCUCGUCAUGAAACCCUGAAGAAUUCCUUUAUGACUUUCAUUUCCAUUGAUACUCACAAUUGGAAAUGAGUACUGAAAGUCCCAAGCUGCCUGCAGAGAGGUUUCCUGCCCUGGGAGGGAAACAUACAGGGCCUCUGGCAGCUGUGAAAGAUGUUUCACAGCAGCUGGAAGUGAAAACAAGAGCAUCAGAUCCUUGUGUGGACAGCCUAUUUCUCCAGUGACUGCUGCACUGAGCCAGAAAGCUUGUUGGGUGAGCCUCCAGUCUGCUCUAGUGUCAAAAUUAAAUGGUGCUCAAAUGAGGCAUCCAAGAAGUUGCCAAGGAGGAAUGGACAUUUCCUCCUCUGUAACCUCACAGGGUUUUAUUUCAGGAAGGACUGAGCAGGGGCUUGGCAUUUAUCCCCAGGAAGCAUCGUACUUAUCCAGUACC